rnacentral:tRNA from 1 species
GCCGAGGUAGCUCAGCGGUAGAGCACACGACUCAUAAUCGUGCGGUCAUGGGUCCGAAUCCCAUCCUCGGCA